GGGCCUAUAGCUCAGUUGGAAGAGCCACCGGCUCAUAACCGGUUGGUCCCAGGUUCAAAUCCUGGUAGGCCCACCA
rnacentral:tRNA from 1 species